UUGUUAAUGACUACACCGUACCCUGUUUUACUACUAAAUUAAUUACCUUUAUUAAGUAUUUUUUUUCUUAUUCUAUGAACAUACUCGAUAUAGUAAUACUAUGUUCAUAUUCAUAUUCGAAGCCAUGUCCCAACCACUUAAGAAAAUAAAAAGGACUUUUUCCUGCCAGGCAAUAAAUGAUUACUGUAAUUAUUCACCAAAAUUAGCUAAUUCGUAUUACAUGACUACGAAAUAUAUAUAUAUAUAUAUA
rnacentral:lncRNA from 1 species